GUGAAUCAUCAAAUCUUUGAACGCAAAUUGCGCCUUUUUCGGAAGGCAUGUCUGUUUGAGUGCACCAUUUAACAAAUAAUGUGAAGCGUUAUGUGUUGCACACGUUGAUGAGCUUUGCAAGAAUUUUAAAUUUUUUGUGGAACAUAAUUUACAGCGUGAAAGCUUGUUUUAGUUCGAGUGUAGUAAAAUCUUUGCUUGGAUUGUGAAAAAACAUAAUGUAGGUAUGGGUGUGGCCAUGUCUUUUGA
rnacentral:misc_RNA from 1 species